UACGGAGGGGGCUAGCGUUGUUCGGAAUUACUGGGCGUAAAGCGCGCGUAGGCGGCUUUGUAAGUCAGAGGUGAAAUCCUGGAGCUUAACUCCAGAACUGCCUUUGAUACUGGGGAUCUCGAGUCCGGGAGAGGUGAGUGGAACUGCGAGUGUAGAGGUGAAAUUCGUAGAUAUUCGCAAGAACACCAGUGGCGAAGGCGGCUCACUGGCCCGGUACUGACGCUGAGGUCCGAAAGCGUGGGGAGCAAACAGG
rnacentral:rRNA from 1 species